rnacentral:tRNA from 2 species
GGGCCGUUAGCUCAGCUGGUAGAGCAGUUGGCUUUUAACCAAUUGGUCGAAGGUUCGAAUCCUUCACGGCCCACCA